GACGAACGCUGGCGGCGUGCUUAACACAUGCAAGUCGAACGGAAAGGCCCUGCUUUUGUGGGGUGCUCGAGUGGCGAACGGGUGAGUAACACGUGAGUAACCUGCCCUUGACUUUGGGAUAACUUCAGGAAACUGGGGCUAAUACCGGAUAGGAGCUCCUGCUGCAUGGUGGGGAUUGGAAAGUUUCGGCGGUUGGGGAUGGACUCGCGGCUUAUCAGCUUGUUGGUGGGGUAGUGGCUUACCAAGGCUUUGACGGGUAGCCGGCCUGAGAGGGUGACCGGCCACAUUGGGACUGCGAUACGGAGCAGACUCCUACGGGAGGCAGCGGUGGGGAAUAUUGCACAAUGGGCGGAAGCCUGAUGCGACAACGCCGCGUGCGGGAUGACGGCCUUCGGGUUGUAAACCGCUUUCGACUGUGACGAAGAGUGAGUGACGGUAAUGGGUAAAGAAGCACCGGCUAACUACGUG
rnacentral:rRNA from 1 species